rnacentral:tRNA from 1 species
AAAGAUUUAGUUAAAUUUAUAACAUUAGAAUGUCAAACUAAAAUUAUUAUUAAAAUAAUAUUCUUUA